rnacentral:rRNA from 1 species
AUUGAACGCUGGCGGCAUGCCUAACACAUGCAAGUCGAACGAGUGGCGGACGGGUGAGUAAUGUCUGGGAAACUGCCUGGUGGAGGGGGAUAACUACUGGAAACGGUAGCUAAUACCGCAUACCAUCGGAUGUGCCCAGAUGGGAUUAGCUAGUAGGUGGGGUAACGGCUCACCUAGGCGACGAUCCCUAGCUGGUUGGAGAGGAUGACCAGCCACACUGGAACUGAGACACGGUCCAGACUCCUACGGGAGGCAGCAGUGGGGAAUAUUGCACAAUGGGGGAAAGCCUGAUGCAGCCAUGCCGCGUGUAUGAAGAAGGCCUUCGGGUUGUAAAGUACUUUCGGCGGGGAGGCGGUACCCGCAGAAGAAGCACCGGCUAACUACGUGCCAGCAGCCGCGGUAAUAC